UAAUAUAUUUUAGACAGAUCUUUAUCUAAAUAUGAUAGAACUAUACUUACCUAUUCAAAAUCACUUAUUAUAAAAACUCGUCUGCUUCAUAUGAGAUUCCGCGAUGUAUCAAACACAGUAUUGCUAGUGACUUCAUA
rfam:Populus trichocarpa isolate Nisqually-1 chromosome 1, whole genome shotgun sequence.